GAACAUUAUCCUCUGCUCAUUUAUGAUCUGGAUAAAAUCAGAGCUGGUGGGUGCCCCAGUGCUGCACUGAUGAGAUAUCAAUUUUUACAGGGUGAAGGUUACCUUGUCACCUCAGGCUAUGCUGCAAAGCCAUUUAAGGUAAUAUUUUCACCUGAAAGUACCUUUUAGGACAUAGCUUCACCAGACCUAAGUCUCUUGCGAUAACAGCUGGAGGAAGUCCUGCUUUCGCCUUGCUGCCCACCACUCCUUCAAGGCAGGGUCUUCACAAGAGGUGAAGCAAACUCUAUAAAAAUAAAAAGUGUGUUUUCUUUUUUAGCUCGUAUCACCCAGCUAUCUGACCACAGCAGAGGGGAGCUGCGUUGGCAUAUCUGAGAGAGGUGCAGUGAUGUGGGUCCCAGCAGGGGUUGAGGAAAGGCAGUGCCUCUUCCAGAAAGGAAGGAAGUUUCUCCAGCUCUACCCCAAUGGAUCCGUUGAGAGUUCACAUUACCUUCAGCAGUGACCCCCACAAGGCAAUGCGACGGCUGCCCUUUCUCCCCUGCACACAGCUCUGGCCCCCUCACUGCCCUCCCUCCUGUCAGUGGCUGCUCAAGCAGGCAUGCAAUGAGCCACCAGCCUGGGGAACUAAAACAUGACAUUUCAGCACUAAAAUUCAAAAUCCAUUUCCUUUCCUUGCUUUACUAUGAGUAAGCCCCAGCUCACCGCAUAGCUGUAUGAAUGCUGACACAAGGGAUGAGGUGCCAGAGGAUAAGAAUGAAUGGCCAGGGUUUCAAGGAUGCUCAGAGUGCCUGGGAAACUACAGAUCCCUUGUUCCCCCGUUUCUGUGAGCACAGUGAGCAGGAAGCAGUGCAACUGUGUCUGUGGGUCACAGGAAGAAGCACACUGACCCUGCAGCUCUCUCCAGCUCUGAUCUGAGCAGCUGGAGCUGACUCAGAGCUCUUGAUGCUGGUACUUAGUUUGUCAUUAGAAAACACAGUCAUUUGCUGCUUGACAAGCGGGGGGACAGAUGGAUGGAUGGACACUAUGCAUGGGGCUGAAAUAAUCUUUCCAUGGAUUUUAACCCCAUUAUGGUUUUUGGUGGCCAUGCUACUUCAAAGAAACAUAGAAUAUCCCAGGUUGGAAUGGACCCAGGGGGACCGUUGAGUCCAACUCCUGUCCCUUCACAGUACCACACAAAAAAUCAGACCACACGACUGAGAACACUAUCCAAACGCUCCUUGAACUCCAGCACUCAGGGCCGUGCCCACCGCCCUGUGGUGCAGCCCCUUUCCCUCACCCCCAGCUGCCCCUCCCCUGACAGCUCCAUGCCGUUCCCUCGGGCCCUGUCGCUGUCACACAGAGCAGAGCUCAGCACUGCCCUCCACUCCCUGUGAGGAGCUGCAGCCGCCAUGAGGCCUUCCCUCAGCUCCUCUGCUCUGGGUCGAACACUCCUAAGGGCCUCAGCUUCUCUUCAUGUCUUCCCCUCUAGAGCCCUCACCAUCCCUGUCUCCUUCAGGGAUCCUGGUUUAACUCUGUGAGGAAGAGCUAAAGCAGACUGCUCAUCUUCCCAGUGGUUUCAGGUCCUCAUUUAACCUUUAUGCUUUCUAAACUGGGCAAGCUCACCAAGCUGGUGAAGAGCAUGAUGGACAUGUGAACCAAGCGGUUUUGGCCAUAGCCAAAGAGACUUCUUCCACAAGAAAGCAGCACUUUCAUCCCUCAGCUUGUGUAGGGAGGAAAAGGAAGGUGAGGCAGCGUGGUGCUUCUCCCUGGGAACUAGCAGGAAGCGGUCAUGUGGCAAUUCAUUCUUUUAUGGAAACUGUUUUUUCUCUGAAGUUAGGGGUUGUGACAGUGUUCAAAGACUCACCGUCUUAUCAACAGCACUUCUGCUUCUUUACCAGUCUUCUGGUAGAAUACUAGAACAAAUUACAAAAGUCACUGUAGUGAAAUACAAGCUCAAAGUGGCAAGGGACUACUAUGGUGGAACCGCAUCAGGAAGGCGAGGGCUGCUUUGAAAGUAAUGCCUCCUAUUUCAUUAGGUUGGCUCAUGACAUCACAGGCAGAUGUUGGUGGGAUGGCAGUAGAGGUUGAACCUUCCUGCCAACAUCCCAUUAUAUUUUGUUGCUGGGAGGGAACAGAGGGGCAGUCUGACAGAAUGGCGUCUGAUAUGGGAGCACGGAUGGAGCAAACAUGUUAUCGAACUCCUCCAUGCAGAAAAAAUUGCACCCACUGAUACUCAUUAAGUCUUGCUGAAUGUUUCUGGAGGCCAAACAGUGGAUGUGAGCACAGUGAGAGGUGGGUGGUGCAUUUCAGCAGUGGUGACAGUGGGUCACCUCCACUGGUGCAGACUGAUACAAGCACGGCAUGCAGGCUCUUGUUCAUCACUGGCAAAAAUGCAUAGCUAAUGGGGGUGGCUGUGUUGAAAAAUAGUGUUCUGUAGCUGAGUAUUUCCUCCAUCAAACAGUGCCGUUGAGCUCUUUGUAUGGCUUGUAGUUUCCAUGGAAAUAAAUAGGAGGCAUUACUUUCAGAGAGAACUAUGUACUCUCUAUGUAUUAUACUGUAUAUUUGGGCUCAGUUCUACAAAACUCAGCCUAUACUUGUCAGGAGCAUGAGAGAGGUGAUACACAUUGGGGUUGGAAUCCAGGAGUGCAGAGACAGCCUCCGGGGUAGCAUUAGCACAAAGGAGAGAGAAGAUUGUGGCAUUCUGAUAGAUACAUGCCAUGGAAAUGUCAUUUUUGUACUGGGCAACAGUGAGAAAGGAGAGUACUGGGAAUUAUUAGGAAGGGACUAGAAACCAGGGCAAUGCCAUAAGACUGUAUGCGGCACCCCACGCCAUGAACAGGGCACGGAGAUCCCUUCCCCUGUCUUAAAAAUAGGAUCAGUUCAACAAAGGACUAAAUGAUAUGGCUGCUGCUCAUGGCAUCAGUUGAAAGGUCAGAAAAACUGGGAGGGGGAACACAAGCCUAUCAAAAAAGAAUUCCUGUGGAGAAAACAAAUAGGACAUGGUUGCUGUAUCUUCCAGUACAAGAACCAGCAGGGCCUUCCUGCCGACUGGACAGUGGCUCAAUGGCAAUGGACAAAACGGUCUUCAGUCCAGCAAUCUGUGGAACUCCCUGCCAGAGUGCACGCAGAAAGGACAAGAUAACUAGGCCAAGUAACGAAACCAACCCGCUGUCACUACACCUUGGUGUAAAUCCAAGGCCAAAGCUCGCUGCACACCUCUGAUGCCACCAGCCCUGUGCCUUCUUCCUCUGCAGAGAACACAGCGCUCUGCCCUCGGCCCGGGUUUGCCAUCUUGGUAACAACACUCAGUGAAAAUGCAGC
ensembl:lncRNA